UGGGGAAUAUUGCACAAUGGGCGCAAGCCUGAUGCAGCCAUGCCGCGUGUGUGAAGAAGGCCUUCGGGUUGUAAAGCACUUUCAGCGAGGAGGAAGGUGGUGGACUUAAUACGUUCAUCAAUUGACGUUACUCGCAGAAGAAGCACCGGCUAACCCCGUGCCAGCAGCCGCGGUAAUACGGAGGGUGCAAGCGUUAAUCGGAAUUACUGGGCGUAAAGCGCACGCAGGCGGUUUGUUAAGUCAGAUGUGAAAUCCCCGGGCUCAACCUGGGAACUGCAUUUGAAACUGGCAAGCUAGAGUCUCGUAGAGGGGGGUAGAAUUCCAGGUGUAGCGGUGAAAUGCGUAGAGAUCUGGAGGAAUACCGGUGGCGAAGGCGGCCCCCUGGACGAAGACUGACGCUCAGGCGCGAAAGCGUGAGGAGCAAACAGGAUUAGAUACCCUGGUAGUCCACGCUGUAAAACGAUGUCGAUUUUGGAGGUUGUGCCCUUGAGGCGUGGCUUCCGGAGCUAACGCGUUAAAUCGACCGCCUGGGGAGUACGGCCGCAAGAUUAAAACUUAAAGGAAUUGACGGGGUCAUAGCUGUUUCCU
rnacentral:rRNA from 1 species